CGAACCCUACGGGGCGCAGCAGUGAGGAAUAUUGGUCAAUGGGCGCGAGCCUGAACCAGCCAAGUAGCGUGAAGGAUGACUGCCCUACGGGUUGUAAACUUCUUUUAUAAAGGAAUAAAGUGAGGCACGUGUGCCUUUUUGUAUGUAUUUUAUGAAUAAGGAUCGGCUAACUCCGUGCCAGCAGCCGCGGUAAUACGGAGGAUCCGAGCGUUAUCCGGAUUUAUUGGGUUUAA
rnacentral:rRNA from 1 species